rnacentral:lncRNA from 10 species
GGCGUGAUCUUGGCUCACCGCAACCUCCGCCUCCUGGAUUCAAGCGAUUCUCCUGCCUUAGCCUUCCAAGUAGCUGGGACUACAGGCAUGUGCCACCAUGCCCGGCUAAUUUUGUAUUUUCAGUGCAGACGGGGUUUCUCCAUGUUGGGCAGGCUGGUUUCGAACUCCUGACCUCAGGUGAUCCACUCAGCUCGGCCUUGCAAAGUGCUGGGAUUACAGGCGUGAGCCACGGUGCCUGGCCUAAUGUCCAGUUUUAAGAGACAACGUCUGCAGAUUCCUAGGGCUUAUAGCUCAGGGGCAGAGGAGUCAGAAGUCACCUAGUCCUCCCCAGGCCUCCGCAGGCUCCAGGACUCUUCCCUCUGCCCACUGGGAAAAACUAGAUGAGCCAAAGCAAUGGGAAAGCUGGAGUGUUGGAGGUAGCUAGAGUGUAUUGUGUCGCGCGGGGGAGGGAGGGAUUGGAGGUAGCCAGAGUGUAUUGUGUCACGCGGGGGAGGGAGGGAUGCUUCAGGCGGCUGAUGACUAUGGGGAUGUGGGUGGCGUACUCCAGUAGAAAAGCUACACUGUAAUAUUUGUGACAGUCCCGUUAACUGUAAAGCACUAUCCAAAUGCCAUUAUAAAAUCAUCCUGUUGUCGACAAUUUUAAGAGAAAAACUUCUGCCCAGUUGCCACUAGAGGGUGACCGAGUCCCGCAUAGUUGAGAAGGUCUCGGGCAGGGAAGGGCCCUUGGUCUACAAACGGAGAGGGUAUGAGAGGGCAGCUCUGGCUGGCUGUGGCCGUGGAAAUGCGGCCUUCGGCGGGCCCUGGGUUCCAACGCGAAGUUGAAGCAGGCCACCUUUGUCAGGGGCUUCCGUCGUUGUUCUCUGGAAUCCCAACACCCUUGUUUCACAAAGGAGGAAUUUGAGGCCCAGAAAAGUUAAGUACUUUGUCCAAGUCACACAGCUGGUACGUGGAAGAGCCAAGAUUCCAACUCAGGCCAUCUGACUCAUCGGCCAGGUUUCUCACCAGCACACACACUGCCCCCUACUCAACGCUGCCCCUUCCUUCCAACCUCAGGCUUGAGGGCCUGGCCUCCUUCCUUUAGUAUUAGUUAUCAUCUGCCGGCUGCUCCUGAAGCUCUCCCCACUGCUGCCCUGGGCUGUAGGGGGCCUGCUGGAGAGAGAAGCAGGCGUUGGUUUGGAGGAGCCAGGUGAACUUUGUGCAGCCUCUCUUAUCACGCUCUGUAAGCAGUCAGCCACCUCAUCUGAUUAGCUGGUGUUGGUCUCCUUUAAAGAUGGAAUUUUCCCAUUAGAGUCAAAUGAGAGCAGGAUCACAGAGUUAGAAGGAAUGUGAAGGCUCAAGACCCGUAUUCUCUUGUUUUAUACAAAAUAAGAGCCCACAGAGAUUAAAUAACUUGCUCAAGUUCACAAAGCUCAGCUGGGCUGAAGCCAUGACUAAAAUGGGAU